GCGGUUCUUGCUGCUUCCUCCCUGGUGCUGCUUCUCUUCUCCUUCCCUCCCGCGCCGGCCAACGGUCUCCUCUCCCCCAAAGGUGUAAACUAUGAAGUGCAAGCCCUCAUGAUGAUCAAGAACUGCCUCAAGGAUCCCCAUGGCGUGCUCAAGAACUGGGACCAGGACUCCGUGGAUCCUUGCAGCUGGACCAUGGUCACCUGCUCACAGGAAAACCUUGUCACUGGCCUAGAAGCUCCGAGCCAGAACCUGUCUGGCCCGCUCUCCCCAAGCAUAGAGAAUUUGACCAAUCUUGUGAU